rnacentral:rRNA from 1 species
CGUCAGGAGUGAACGCUCGGCGGCGUGCCUAACACAUGCAAGUCGAGCGAUUACUUCGGUAAAGAGCGGCGGACGGGUGAGUAACGCGUGGGUAACCUGCCUCAUACACAUGGAUAACAUACCGAAAGGUAUGCUAAUACAGGAUAAUAUAAGAGAUUCACAUGGAUUUCUUAUCAAAGCUCCGGCGGUAUGAGAUGGACCCGCGUCUGAUUAGCUAGUUGGUAAGGUAAUGGCUUACCAAGGCGACGAUCAGUAGCCGACCUGAGAGGGUGAUCGGCCACAUUGGAACUGAGACACGGUCCAAACUCCUACGGGAGGCAGCAGUGGGGAAUAUUGCACAAUGGGCGAAAGCCUGAUGCAGCAACGCCGCGUGAGUGAUGAAGGCCUUCGGGUCGUAAAACUCUGUCCUCAAGGAAGAUAAUGACGGUACUUGAGGAGGAAGCCCCGGCUAACUACGUGCCAGCCGCCGC